GACGAACGCUGGCGGCGUGCUUAACACAUGCAAGUCGAACGGAAAGGCCCUGCUUUUGUGGUGUGCUCGAGUGGCGAACGGGUGGGUAACACGUGAGUAACCUGCCCUUUACUUUGGGAAAACUUCAGGAAACUGGGGCUAAUACCGGAUAAGAGCUCCUGCUCCAUGGGGGGGGUUGGAAAGUGUCGGCGGUUGGUGAUGGACUCGAGGCUUAUCAGCUUGUUGGUGGGGUAGUGGCUUACCAAGUCGUUGACGGGUAGACGGCCUGCGAGGGUGACCGGCCACAUGGGGACUAAGAUACGGCGCAGAAGCCUACGGGAGGCAGCGGUGGGGAGCAUUGCACAAUGGGCGGGAGCGUGAGGCAGCGACGCCGGGUGCGGGAUGACGUCCUUCUGGUUGUAAACAGCUUUCGACUGUGACGAAGCGGUAGUGACGGUAAUGGGUCAAGAAGCACCGGCUAACUACGUG
rnacentral:rRNA from 1 species